ensembl:lncRNA
GACACAUAAAGAUUUCAUGAUUCAAAUUACGCUUUCAUUAACCUUUAGCAUAGGAAGUCUUUUAGUUUCUAUAAAUCUUCUAGUGGCUUACCGUCUGUCCUACUGAUGUGAAUAAUAGAUGUUUGGGGAAAUCGCUCUUUAAAAACCUAGGGUAUUUAAUUUACGAGAGCUAAAUACAUAUUUCAGACUCACUUAGCAAGAACUUUAAUUACUUCUUGUUGCUUUUUCUAACUGGGAAGCCACCCCCUCCCCCCAAUCAGGUUUCUUCUGCUUGACUCAGAUGUUUUAGAGAUGGUAAAAGCUUUCAAGUCUAAGUCCCGGUCUUUAAUACUCAUUAGUUCUUUUAAGCUAAGUAAUGUCCUAAAGAGAGUUAAGGGGAUGUCUCAGGUGUGGACCAUUACGCAAUUAAAUUAGCCAAACUCGGAGAGAUUGGAUUAGAACUCAGCAGGGAACACCUGGGUUUCUGCAGGGCGGGGCUCUCGCCAGGAAGAGCGAGGGUCUCCCGCUUGGUAGUCUCAGUCACAGACUUGUCUUACCAGAUCAAGUGUUGCAGGCUAAGCUAUUUUUCUCUGGGAGUAGGUUUCUGUGGCUGUCAGAGUGAACAGGAAAAGCAUCUGUGAAUGUGCCAAGCCAAGGGAAACCAGGAGUUGGAGGACUCGUGGCUUUUCACAUACAAAGGCAUCCGCCCAUCCCUCCUUGCGAGCCAGCCAAGGGUGGACAAGUGCAUGCGGAGGCUGCUGCCCAGGUGCAAGGGGUGGGGGCGGGGCGGGCUGCAGAAUGCCCCAGAACAAAGGCGCCUCCAGGGGCCUGUGCAGAGGUCACCUGCUGCCUCCAGGACAGAUUAAGGAGGACUGGAGAGGGCAUUUGGAGGAAAUGGUGCUGUUCUUCUUUGGGAAAUCAAUUCGUCCCACCCUUAAUGGGGCAUUUCGCCCUCCCUCUUUGGGAGUCCCAAGCAAAUGUGCUUCCAGGUCUCUCAAAAUCGGUUCUUAACCGGCCUCUGUUUGAAGAGGCGGCACCUUGCGCGGCCUGUGCUCCCUCAAUAGCCGGUGCCCCCUGAAAAUCUCUUUCUGCUCUCUGCAACGUCUCACUUCCCUUUUCUCCCUCCUCGGGGCUCUCCCGCCCCUCCCUACCCAGGCUUCUUUCAUAAUUAGGCUGGAAGUGGAACUUUCCCCCACUCCCUUACUUUGAGAUUUCUUUUUUCCCAGUGACCUGGGCUGCACUUUGCCCCCACUCCCUGCCUGCCAAUCUCUUCGGGGUUAGGGCCUCUCUCUUUCCAUUCUUGCAGGCUCCCCCUCCUUGAGAGCCCCGGGAGGCCCAGCCUCCCAGAAUCCGAUCUCCUUCCAACGCUGCAGCCCCCCUGCGGAGGAAGGAAGAGGCCUCCUCAGAAUGAAUGGCUGGUGAAGAUAUGGUUGGUCAACCUAAAAGUGUGAACCUACUGCUUUAGGAAUGCAAGCGCUUUGCCCCAAUUACCUGCCUCACCCUGCCUGGAAGGCCAGGCUGUGUGGAGGCGUGGAGGACAAACCACGGACGGAACCUCCACACGCUCCACUUCCAGCUUCGUCAUCUGCAAGUUCACGGGCAUUGGGAACAGGGGCUUUCAUUUUCUAAUGCCUUCUUGGCCCCCCAGAUUGGCCCUGCCUGAUGUCUUCUCAUACUCUAGAAAGGGAGGAGGCAGUGGCUAGACAGGAUGGGGCUGUAGGACAAGAAGCCCAUUUCUGUUCUUUUUGUGGAUAUAACCUCCAGGAUAUUACACUUCAUCCUGUUUUUCUAGGCAUCCAGCACUCU